rnacentral:RNase_P_RNA from 1 species
GGGGAUAGGGGCGUCUGCGCUGAGGGGCUGUCGCCCCUCAGAGGAAAGUCCGGGCGUCAGGGAGCAAGCCGCCCUCCGCAAGGAGGGGCUGUAUGCCGCAAGGCAUGCAGACGGAUAGGGUCACAGAAAACAUACCGCCCCUCAGGGGUAAGGGUGAAAUGGGACGGUAAGAGCGUCCCCGCGGACAACCCCCGGCUGACGCAAGGCUAAGCAGUCGGCGAUGACCGCUCCCAUAGCCGACGGGUAAGCCGCUUAGAGAAAUGCAGACGUAGACACAGAACCCGGCUUACUACCUAUCCCCGCCU